CGCCGCCGCCGCCGCCGCCGCCGCCGCCGCGAGGGGAGAGGCGGCCGCACAGCCUAGUCCCCCGCGCCCUGCUCGCCGCCGUCACUCGCGCAAGCACGGCCGCCGGCCCUCGCCCCGCCGAGCGCACCCACCCGGGCACACGCACCCCGGUCGCCGGGCGCACCUCGCGCACGCCCCCCGCGGCUCCGCCGGGCGCCCGAGCUGGGCAGAUGCGCCGCCGCGCGCCCCCCCGCCCCGGGCCCGCCACCGCGCUCCGCCGCGCGCCGGGGGCUCCUCUCCCGAGCCCCGCUGGGCGCCCUCCGGCUCCGGUUCCCGCCCGCUCCUUGAAUAACCCCUGAGGCUCCAGCCGUCGCCGCAAAGUUUCCCGAGGAGACCCGCCUCCCCGGCCGCUGCGCAGGUGAGGAGGCAGGGAGUGGGUGCGAAGGCCUCCCUUUUGGACAGAGGAGACCAGGGGACGAAGCAGGAAUAACGCGCCCCUCCCCCGCUCCGCCUCCCCAGCAAGAAAACCUUCUCUACGAACAGGAGAAGCCAAGCAGGACUGAGCGUCCACCGCCCCCCCACCCCACCCCACCCACCCGAACAUCUUUCCAAAGAGAGGCAUGUGGGGCCUGACAGCUCAGCGGCGCAUGUCAGCAGCUUCAGCCCCGCGGUGAACAUCUGAACUCCUCAGCGGGGUAAUGGACCCCCUCCUUCCCCCCCGGAGACACAGCCUGAGUGGCAGGAAUACCGAUCCUUUGGAGAGUGACUCCCUCUCAGCUCUGUCACGCAAGAACGCUCUCUGCACCGGAGCCCAUUCUGCCGAGUGACUUAAAGGGAUUAAAAAAAAAAAAAGAAAAGAAAAACUUGGUGAAGAAAAGGGGGUAAAAGCCACGCCGAAGCUUUGCAGAGGAGGUGGCGACCAGCACACAAAAGGGCAAAAGUUGAAAGAGGACAGCGAGAGGCCACCUCCACGGGAUGGACGCCAGGCUGUAGGGCAUGCCUGGGGAGCAGGGGCCCAGAACACCCUCAGGCUGCACACGGGGGUCCUGGGGCUGCAGGGGGGGGGCCUCUGCAGACCCCUCAUGCACGCCCCUCACUCCGGGGGGAGAGGCCAGCGGUGCCUGAAGCCCAGGGGACAGAGGAUGCCGCUCCAGACCCGAAGCCACGUCUGAGCACGAGCAGGGUGUCCUCCCUGCUCCCCGGGGCGCCCCCAGCUCCACGCAACACCCCGAGUCUGUGGCCCGUGCCUGGGUGCCAGGGCCGCGGGGCCAGAAUGUGACUGUGUUUGGGCCCAGCUCAACCGGAAGCAUCCAGAGCGGAGACCCCAGCCAGACCCAGCAGGUUCCGGGGCUGCAGCUGAGGAGGGAUUUGCAUUCUCUCAAGUUCAGGACAUCCCGCUGCCCGGCACCGCCCAGACGGCCCACGCGGGGAGGUGAACUCGAGGUACAUUUUUAGUGGAUUUGCAUACCUGUCUGCAAUUACCGCCAGUGGUAACAGCUGAUGCAUAAUGCAUGCGGCAUGAAAUUAGAAAAAUAAUUAACUUUAGGGUUUAAAAGAAUCCCCUACCCCCGCCCUCCCCUCCCACUACAAGUUCUCAAUGGCACCCGUGGAUAAGAGCAGGAGCAGAGUUGUGCAGGGCUGGGCUGGGAGGGCCUUGAGGGUCGUGGCAGCCAGCCCCCUGCCGGAAGGAGGUACCUCCAGUGGGCUCAGACUGGCCUGGGCCUCAACUAGGGCUUGGAACAGGCCCGCUCACCCAGAAGUCUCAGGGUCCCCCCUCCACCUCUGGUCCACACUUCACAUCUAUACCUGCAGGGGGCGCUACCUGCUGCUAAGAACAGCGAAGGGUCCCCUGUUCCGAAUGGAAUGCUGCAUCAGGCCCUCUGCUCAGGGCUGCUCAGGCUUGCAAACAACCGUAGCUUACGCCCAGGGAAGCGGAUCACUUAUGGUGCCGUCUUACGGAGGAAGGCCUGAGACCUGAGGCCACCCUCAGCAGGUGGGGCAGCUGGA